AACACCAAGCAAUCGAGCAAUGACGCUGUUGUGUCGUUGAUGGCGUGUUGGAGAUCUGUUGAAAGAGAACAUUAAACAGGGAUAAGGGUUAGAGCUGUCGCCAAAACUGUCUAACAACUGCUUGUUGAGUGAAAAACAACAACAUUUUCUUCUCACUCUACUGAAUCGGAUCUAACGGUUACAAGCAGUCGGGUUAACGGCCCUCGGAAGAAAUGCUUCCCAUCGGCAGCACCAUCGGCUUCAAACGGUGAGCUUAAAGGCAGCAUAAAGCUCUCGCACAAAACAAAUCCUCUAUCUUCACCUCCAUCCGUUUCAUACCCUUGCCACUUUCGUACCACUUCCGAUACAGCUGUUUUGUAAAGGGGAGCAAAAAUGGUGUGCCCCCUUUUUUCUUCAACACUCACGCGGAGUCUGCCCGAGACACUCGCUGGAUGCACUCAGAGAUUGAGUUCCGCUCAUUUUGCCAGUGCUCUUUCGAGCUCCACACGCGAAGAGACAGAUCGACGCAUACAUAUGGUUCACCCCGUCAUCCCCAAAACCAUGUGGUGACGGUUGUUAUACUUGGCCGACAGUACAACCAGCAUAACACAACGUAACCACACUCACGACGGCUUCGUCGUCGUUGGACGCACCUCUGCGCGAGCGGUUCUGGCAAACAGCACAGACGAUGAUCAUGUGCACACCGAUGUAGGUCAAUGUUUUGCACUGACGGUACAAACGUGGGCAACAGCAAAGUGGAGAAGAAAAAAAAAGCACACAGUCAUCUAACAUGACUAAUCAACGACGAGGAGAGAAAGGUGGUACGAAACACCUUUGGUACGUAUGCGCGUGGCUACAAACAAACCAACUGCAAUGUAUACCGUUUAUUAGUGUGUGCCAUACGAAGCACCGUAUCCGAUGAUAAACAUUGUUGUAAAUAAAGGCAAAGAGGUGGUUUAAUUACAAUAUAAGUUAUAAUUGUAUAGCAUUUACAAUUUAGUAAUUGUUGAGCGCGCAACAGCUCGCUUGAAUGGAUUGAAAUUAGAAUCAGAAAAAUAGAUUUUUUUCUUUUCCGAUAUUUUUGAAUAAUAAUUUUGGAAAAUAUUUCAUUGCAAUUUAACUUCUUUACAAAAUAACAUCAAUCUUAGCUUCUCAAUAUUUGAAAUUAAAAUAAUGAACGUUUUUCAAAUGAUUGUCUGGCGUAUGUACAGUGCGUAACAUAAUUAUAUACUUUUAAUCUAUUUUAACAGAAGGGCAUCGAAUCCCAUCCAGACUUCCUGGACUUUGCCAGUAGCAUACAGUGCUAUACACAGUAAGUCUAGUCAGUCUACUCUAGUAAUCUAUAUCAUGGCCUAGCAGAUGGUUAAGACUAGAGGCAGAACAUUCUCACAAAAGGUAAUAAUGUUUUCUUAUUUCUUAUCGAAUUUCAUUUCUAUCGAAUUUAAACGAUUUUUUCCCGCAAUUGUUUAGAUUCUUAUGUUUAGUAUGUGUACUGAGGGUUAAACUACAUAUAAUGACUCACAUCCCAACGGGUUAAGUUACACUGUGGUAAUGAUCCGCUAAUAUACUACAUAUCAAUUAUUUGAAUUAAGUACACAACAUCCAUAAAUCCAUUCUCUAUGUUUUCAAAACUUAUCACAACAUCAUUCAAAACCUGUUACAACAUUUUUCUCAGAUUUUUUUUUCCAUUAAGGGGAAGUUAGAUUCUUCCCAUUCUUUAGCACUACAACCUCGAGAGGUCCUGGCCUGCCGUUACUGACUGAAUUGUACCAAUAGCUGGAUAGUUUUUCUUGCGUACGUGUAGUCCAUCGUGACGGGAUUUGAUAUCCGGUAAUCUACCGAAGAUCGAUGGUGCUACUAGCUCGACACCGAAUCGUCCUAAAUCUAGACCCUUCAAUGGUUUUCUGCAACAUUUCAAACUGUCAAAAAUGUGUUUUAUUAAAUUAUGAAAAAUUUAAGAUAUUUUCCAAAAUCUCA